UACGGGGGGGGCAAGCGUUGUUCGGAAUUACUGGGCGUAAAGGGCUCGUAGGCGGCCAACUAAGUCAGACGUGAAAUCCCUCGGCUUAACCGGGGAACUGCGUCUGAUACUGGAUGGCUUGAAUCCGGGAGAGGGAUGCGGAAUUCCAGGUGUAGCGGUGAAAUGCGUAGAUAUCUGGAGGAACACCGGUGGCGAAGGCG
rnacentral:rRNA from 1 species